rnacentral:lncRNA from 1 species
GUUAUAGAUUAUUGUCUCAAACCUUUUGGAAAGGCUGAAAGGUUUUAUUGGGAGAGGCUAGAGGUAGCUGGCUCACUUACAUUAGAUUAGGGAAAAGAUAGAGACAAUAAGAGGCCUUCCCAGUUAAGUCUGUUUACCACAAAUUUCUUUGUCUCUACUCUGUUUACUCAUGUAAACUUUGUGCUGGAUGGUCCUCUCUGGAGAAAAUCAAAGAAUUACCCUUUAAUAAUGUUUGCUCUGGGCCCCAGAACCUAAAGUUUUUAUCAUUUGUAAAACCAUUCUUUUAACCAUGUUAAUUAUCCACAAGCGUAUUGACUUAGAACCUCUGUUAUAAAAUCUUUGCUGAAUAAAUGUAAGGAUGGGAAGGGGGUCUUGGUUGAUUGGUGGUGGUUGCCCUCUGAAAGCAGCCAAUGACCAUCCCUAGCCCACUUGAAUCAUCAAAAUAGAUGUGAGAGUGUAUUUAUUCAUCAUUAAGUCAGGGUCUGCAGAACAGACCUCCACAGGUGGUGAUUGACAUCUCAGGUGGUGACCCAAUGUGAUAUCCAUCACAGCAGGCGCUUGAACACAGAAUGAACUGAUGUGAUCAUCUCUGUGAAGAAGGAGCAGUGGACUUCCCAAGAACUGGAAGGUAGAGAGGACUGUGCGGUCAUGUCAAGCAGUCAAUUGUAAAAAGUUUCUUAGCAUAGGAACAACCACUAGAAUUUCCAGCACACCAGCACCAGCUAAGAGACUGCAUUCUCAUCAAAUGAUGGAAAGAAGAAAAACCUCAAGCCAGCAGAAGAAAGAUCUACAGGAUGACACAAGCCCUGGACCUCACCUGGAGAAUGCUGAAGAGGACAACGCAGAAGACUAAGGAAAUCAUGCUUAGGAUUCAACACAUCUCAACUGGACAAUUCCUUUACCACAAUAUUAUUUAUACCACCUUUGAUUCCAAGAGGCUCUUGAGUUGGAUGCCUGCUGGAUAAUCAACAAUAUGGCUCUGUGUGGCCAAUGGAUAGUCUAUGACUGACAGUGGCUUUUCCAGUAACUCUGAAAAUGACAUGAGGCUCAUUCUGAACAUGAGAAAUAUUCUCCUAGUUUAUUUUUCUUCACCCAUUGUCUGAACUUCAAGAAUGAAAAGGUAUGUGAUUGACUGUCUUUUCCAACUCUAAAUGUUAAUAGUUGUUUUGGGGUUAUGAAAAUAAAUGAGAUCAAAUUUGUGAGCCUUUCCUUAAUACCUUUCCAAUUUGAAUUCUUUGUGGAGUUACCUACUUAGAUGCUGUGAUAUAUAUUUUUGAUUAGAGUGAUUUUGAACUUGUAAAAACUAACCACAAUAAAGUUUCUGGAAUGCUUUUAAAUGAUUUGGUUUUUUUUUUUUAGAGAAUCAAUACAGUAGGUCAUAUCUCAUUGGGCAGUAUUUGCCUUUUCAUGGAACCUGGAGCUUCAAAUUUAUC